CACAUUAAUUAUCAAUCAAGAAAAUGCCCCACCGACAUGCCCAGGAGUCAAUCUUUUGAAGGAACCUGCUUGAUUGAAUUUCCUUUGAUCAGGUCGCACUUCUUCCAUAAACUCGCAACAGUGCCAGCACCCAGAGAUGAAGCCCCCAGGAACCAUUAGAAGACAUUUAAGAUCCAAAUUGUAAGAGUGGCUAAGGACUUUAACAAGAAGUCAGCAGCGACUCUGCAUAACCAGUGAAGAAACAGGAAAGGAAACAGCCUCAGGGAGGAAGGCAACCUGGUCACAGGCUCAUUCCACAAGAAUGAACACCUACUACUUGAAUAACCAAGAGCCAGAGGCUAGACAUCUUAAAGACAUGAGUGUUGGGGACAGAGCCCAGGCUUCAUGCAUGCCAGGCAAGUACUGAUCCCUGGGAUAUACCCACAGACUGAGGAUACUGACUUAAAUAGACACACAAUACACAUAACACAGUGCAGCUGAUGUUGUAUAUAUGGAUGCUGCCUAGUAUACUUAAGGAGUUAUAGAUUCUUACUGCCUUGGUCAUAAUGAAGUGGGAAGCAGACUCCAUUUUUCCCAUAAAAGUUGCCGAAAUAAUCCUCUCUGGUGAACGGAACGGCCGCUAUGAGAAAUCCCACCACCCAGAUGCUGGCGAGGGCCACAGCAGUCUGGCGCUUGCCCAGGCGCAGGUUGCUGAAAGGGAAUACUAUGACAAGGAACUUCUCCAGCGUCAGGAAUGUCAGCAGCAGCACCGAGACCUCUGUGGACAGCGUGGCCAGGAAGCCCAGCAGGCGGCAGGGCACACUCUCCAUCCACAGCAGCGCAUACUUCUGAUACUGCCCUCGGUACUUGAUGUCAAAGACGCCCACGGAGAACAGUGGCAGGAGUGGAGAAUCAGAGCUUGUCUCAAGCGGUCAAGAAGACAUAAGAAGAAGUAGAGGCCAAGCCAGCAGAAGAUUCCAACCAUAUCAGACAUGCCCAGUGAGGACACGACUACAGAUC
rnacentral:lncRNA from 1 species